AGCCCCGUGGUGGAAAUCACGUCAGAUUGCAAAUCUGAAGGCGCAGACGGAACUCUGCCGGGGCUU
rnacentral:tRNA from 1 species